rnacentral:lncRNA from 1 species
GUUUGCACUACGUCAUCAGUUGGUUGGCUGGCCUUGUAUCUAGGAGGCGUUGAUCGGACAGCCUCUCAUUGCAGGAGCUGGAAUUCGCGUAUAAUUGGUGGCGGAAGCUUGCGUUGCCCCCCGAGGAUUAUGGAGAGAUAUUUCAUUGGCCCGAGCCGUUAUUGCUUCUGUGGUGUCGGGCUGAUUAUCUUCCGUGAUGUCGCCCGGAAGAGAUACUCUGGGUUUCUCAAUUUUGGACGUUGGAGAUGGUGGACGAGCAACCUUUGGUUGUUUAUCACCUGCCACUUCGGUCGUUGGUGUAUACAACACAGGCCAGGAUUGCUCAAAAGCGCCGCUUCGGCGAUGGAAGUCCACUAACGACUGUUCCAAAACUGAAGGGCAACGGUAACCCAGGGGUAGGGCUAUGCCUACCUGGGGUUGAAUGAUGGUACGAUGAAGUAAUUCUUCCUCUAUUUUUAUAGCGUCAGUUAAUACUGACUGAGUACCGUCUUUUUCCGAAAAUAAGACACUGUCUUACUUUCUUUUUUGGUCCAAAAUACGCGAU